rnacentral:rRNA from 1 species
ACGUAGGACCCAAGCGUUGUCCGGAUUCACUGGGUAUAAAGGGUGCGUAGGCGGCUAUAUAAGUCAGAGGUGAAAGGCUACGGCUUAACUGUGGGAUUGCCUUUGAUACUGUAUAGCUGGAAUCAGGUUGAAGUUAGUGGAAUGCGGCAUGUAGCGGUGAAAUGCAUAGAUAUGUCGUAGAACACCGAUUGCGAAGGCAGCUAACUGGGCUUGAAUUGACGCUGAGGCACGAAAGCGUGGGGAUCGAACAGGAUUAGAUACCCUGGUAGUCCACGCCCUAAACGAUGCUAACUCGAUGUAUGGUUGUAAGACUGUGCGUCUAAGGGAAACCGUUAAGUUAGCCACCUGGGGAGUACGUUCGCAAGAAUG